rnacentral:rRNA from 1 species
GUGCUUGUACCGACUGGAUGAGCAGCGAACGGGUGAGUAACGCGUGGGGAAUCUGCCUUUGAGCGGGGGACAACAUUUGGAAACGAAUGCUAAUACCGCAUAAAAACUUUAAACACAAGUUUUAAGUUUGAAAGAUGCAAUUGCAUCACUCAAAGAUGAUCCCGCGUUGUAUUAGCUAGUUGGUGAGGUAAAGGCUCACCAAGGCGAUGAUACAUAGCCGACCUGAGAGGGUGAUCGGCCACAUUGGGACUGAGACACGGCCCAAACUCCUACGGGAGGCAGCAGUAGGGAAUCUUCGGCAAUGGACGAAAGUCUGACCGAGCAACGCCGCGUGAGUGAAGAAGGUUUUCGGAUCGUAAAACUCUGUUGGUAGAGAAGAACGUUGGUGAGAGUGGAAAGCUCAUCAAGUGACGGUAACUACCCAGAAAGGGACGGCUAACUACGUGCCAGCAGCCGCGGUAAUACGUAGGUCCCGAGCGUUGUCCGGAUUUAUUGGGCGUAAAGCGAGCGCAGGUGGUUUAUUAAGUCUGGUGUAAAAGGCAGUGGCUCAACCAUUGUAUGCAUUGGAAACUGGUAGACUUGAGUGCAGGAGAGGAGAGUGGAAUUCCAUGGGUAAGCCG